rnacentral:rRNA from 1 species
CAAUAGCGUAUAUUAAAGUUGUUGCAGUUAAAAAGCUCGUAGUUGGAGUUCAGAGUGAGCUCGUCCGGUCGGCCUUAUGGGUCAGAACUGGUUGACUCUCUCUUGUUUGUGGAUCCUGUCAGCAGUUAACUCUGUUGAUGUGGAGUCCACAUCGUUUACCUUGAAAAAUUAGAGUGUUCAAAGCAGGCAAUUCGCCUGAAUAAUGGUGCAUGGAAUAAUGGAAUAGGACCUCGGUUCUAUUUUGUUGGUUUUCGGAACUUGAGGUAAUGAUUAAUAGGGAUAGUUGGGGGCAUUCGUAUUUAACUGUCAGAGGUGAAAUUCUUGGAUUUAUGAAAGACUAACUACUGCGAAAGCAUUUGCCAAGGAUGUUUUUCAUUAAUCAAGAACGAAAGUUAGGGGAUCGAAGACGAUCAGAUA